rnacentral:rRNA from 1 species
GAUGAACGCUGGCGGCGUGCUUAACACAUGCAAGUCGAACGGUGAAGCUCCAGCUUGCUGGUGUGGAUCAGUGGCGAACGGGUGAGUAACACGUGAGCAACCUGCCCCUGACUCUGGGAUAACAGCCGGAAACGGCUGCUAAUACCGGAUAUGCACCAUGAACGCAUGUUCUGUGGUGGGAAAGAUUUUUCGGUUGGGGAUGGGCUCGCGGCCUAUCAGCUUGUUGGUGAGGUAAUGGCUCACCAAGGCGUCGGCGGGUAGCCGGCCUGAGAGGGUGACCGGCCACACUGGGACUGAGAAACGGCCCAGACUCCUACGGGAGGCAGCAGUGGGGAAUAUUGCACAAUGGGCGAAAGCCUGAUGCAGCAACGCCGCGUGAGGGAUGACGGCCUUCGGGUUGUAAACCUCUUUUAGCAGGGAAGAAGCGAGAGUGACGGUACCUGCAGAAAAAGCGCCGGCUAACUACGUG